GCUCACAUGGUCGAGUGGUUACGACGCCAAUACUCUGUUGCUUUCUUGACUUCUUGGAUAAUACAGUUUGCUCCGGUGAUUUGGAUAUUCUGAGCCGGUUUUUGGGCGCGUUUAAGUGGAGACUCAGGUUCGAUUCCUGAUGAGAGCA